GUUUUGCUCAUUCAUAUCUUCAUGAGGUUCAAUGGGAAGUGUCCCAUGUUUGAGGUAAUUGAAGAUUAGGGACAUCCAUGUUGAACCGAUGUCGACUGAGAAGAGCUCUUCCUAGUUGAUUAUCAGUUGGCUGAUCUCCUCAAGGUGGAUCGAUUGAGAUAGUUGCUGCUCCCCUAUUGCUGCCAUCUUGACUAGGGCAUCUGCAUCACAGCUUUCUCCUCUUGGGACUUGUAUGAUUGUGACUUCUCCCGAGUUUGAUCAGAUUUGGGCUAUUAGCUGCUGUAUCCUUGCCUCAUAUUUUCCCAGGUACUGGAGACAAGGAUCAGUAAAGAUCAGACUGAGAUUUUGGAUUGAUCUGCAGUAGUUUAUGUCAACUCAUCAUUACAUUUUGGUAGGGCCCAUGGAUGCUUAGGUAUGUACUUUUGAUACAUUGUAAAUAGGGGAAAGCUUGUAAUUAAAUUUUGAGAUUGUAUAAAGUUUUGUAAAUUAUGUAAAUUGUAAAUUAUGUAAAUUAUGUACAUGAACUUCAUAAAUGAAAUGAG
rnacentral:misc_RNA from 1 species